rnacentral:lncRNA from 10 species
UCCCUAGGAUGAUGUCCAUUAUCUGAUAACCUAUCAAGGUGAUCUCCGGCUGCAGUCUCUCCUCUGGAGGAGAUGGGUAGAAGAAAUGCUUGAAGUUCUGGGGAUCUGGGGGCUGGGUUGCAACAGAGCUGUUGAGAAGAAAAGAUUUUGGCUGAGGAAUCUGCUCUUGUUAGGUCAAAACUGUAGAAUGUUCAGCUCUGAUGAGAUAAACUGAGGCUGCUUGGGAGAGAAUUUUUGGAUCUGCCUGGAAUUUGUGCAAUCUGAAAUGAAGACCAUGGAGGCUCUAUGUGAACCACGAGACUAGAAAGAAUGAUGCCCAUUCUCCUGCUUCCAGGAAGGACUGUAUUUUUACACAUAGUAUUUUUGUUCUGACUAUGACAAAAAUACAUACACAUUUUGGAAAGUACAGAAAAUAAUAAAGAAAAUGAAAACAAUCUACAAUUCUACUACCCAAAGAUGAUUACGAUUGGCAUUUGAAAUUUUCUGAGUUUACAAAAAAAUGCCUUUUA